GACGAACGCUGGCGGCGUGCUUAACACAUGCAAGUCGAACGGAAAGGCCUGCUUUCCCUUGUGGAUUGCGGGUACUCGAGUGGCGAACGGGUGAGUAACACGUGAGUGAUCUGCCCCCAACUUGGGUAUAAGCCUGGGAAACUGGGUCUAAUUCCCGAUAGGACUGCAGGGUGGUGCCGGUGGUGGAAAACGAUUUUCUAGUGGUUGGGGAUGAGCUCGCGGCCUAUCAGCUUGUUGGUGGGGUAAUGGCCUACCAAGGCGGCGACGGGUAGCCGGCCGGAGAGGGUGGACGGCGACAUUGGGACAGAGAUACGGCCCCGACUCCUACGAGAGGCAGCAGUGGGGAAUAUUGCACAAAGAGCGUAAGCCUGAUGCAGCGACGCCGCGUGGGGGAUGACGGCCUUCGGGUUGUAAACUCCUUUCGACCGCGAGGAAGCCACCUGGUUGGAAGGGUGGUGACGGUAGUGGUAGAAGAAGCACCGGCUAACUACGUG
rnacentral:rRNA from 1 species